rnacentral:rRNA from 1 species
CCUACGGGUGGCAGCAGUCGAGAAUCAUUCACAAUGGGGGAAACCCUGAUGGUGCGACGCCGCGUGGGGGAAUGAAGGUCUUCGGAUUGUAAACCCCUGUCAUGUGGGAGCAAAUUAAAAAGAUAGUACCACAAGAGGAAGAGACGGCUAACUCUGUGCCAGCAGCCGCGGUAAUACAGCGGUCUCAAGCGUUGGUCGGAAUCACUGGGCGUAAAGCGUGCGUAGGCUGUUUCGUAAGUCGUGUGUGAAAGGCGCGGGCUCAACCCGCGGACGGCACAUGAUACUGCGAGACUUGAGUAAUGGAGGGGGAACCGGAAUUCUCGGUGUAGCAGUGAAAUGCGUAGAUAUCGAGAGGAACACUCGUGGCGAAGGCGGGUUACUGGACAUUAACUGACGCUGAGGCACGAAGGCCAGGGGAGCGAAAGGGAUUAGAUACCCCUGUAGUC